rnacentral:rRNA from 1 species
GUCAAAAUUGGCAUGUGAUACCUUUUCGGAAAGCCCAAAGAGAGCUCUCCAAUGAAUGAGGAAAGACAUUGGAAUUCUUCUAUUGUUUUUUUUCUACUCUAAAUUUUGACCUUAAUGCACUUUUUCUAACCUUUUCAUGAUCUUUGUUAUAUUACGGGGCGAAAAUUAUAUGUUCGGACAUUUUUCUCGAAGAUUUAGCAUGUAUCAAAGCUCUUAUAAACAAGAAAGGGUAUUCCUACAUAGAUGGUGGGACCCACGACAAUUGGAUCAUAAAGUCUUCAAAAAAGAAUAGAUACGAUUGCAUUGCAUGUAGUAACGAAUGCGAUCAUACCAGCACUAAUGCACCAGAUCCCAUCAAAACUCCGCAGUUAAGCGUGCUUGGGCGAGAGUACUACUAGGAUGGGUGACCUCCAGGAAAGUCCUCCUGUUGCAUCCCUCAUUUUUUGAUUUUUCGAUUUUUCUUUUGUCAAAAAUGUAUGACUCAAUAACUUUUAGACCG